AGCAGUGAGGGCAAGAUGACUGCAACACCUGUCACCCUACUGAUCUCUGAGCUAUACUUGGUUGAUGUGGCUGGCUAGGCAGGUCCCAUCCCUCGCUCACCUCUCCAUGUGCUUCCCUCUCAAAGAUGCACACUCCGUCCAAGAGGAUGGGCCUUCCCUAAAUAGAACCAGGCCCUUCUUUGUCUUCGAUUGUGGGUUAUGAGUAGCUCUUCUGUUAGAACCUCCAAACAAGUUCUCAACCACUAAGUCCUAAGCACUGGCAGGUGUGGCAACAACAGACAAAACAAACUUUUGUAUUU
rnacentral:snRNA from 1 species